rnacentral:lncRNA from 1 species
AAAUUUGUCCAACUUGAUCAAAACAUUUUGAUCUCCUGUCGAAGGAGCUAUGAAUGAUGCCUUCUGGGAUAUCAAGGAACAAUGACUGCUAGUUGUUGAGAAGAAAAAUUGAAGUUUGAGAAACAGAUUCAGGUACUCUUCUUACUCGAAUUAUCAAGUCCAAGGACGAACCUUACGCUACUUUAAAUGCUAAAGGGAAACCUGGAUGUGAAGUAAUGUCAUAGCAGCCGACAUUCAACCAGGUACUGUUUCAGCGUCAUAAAACUAAAGAGCAAACUAACUUCUGGGAAACUAAAAAUGCUUGCUACUGUUUCAGCGUCAUAAAACUUAAGUUUGGAAAGGCUAGGAAGCAUUGCGGUAAAAAACCCACCCUUUUGCCAACAGAGUUAUUUAAUGAUGAAUUACGGGGAAGCUAAGUAAAUACCGUAACCUAUUGUAUCUGUGGUUACAAUUUGCAGGAACAGAAUUGCCGUUGCAGAUAAUCAGUUUUUGGCGCUGCAUGCAGCAGUCUUUAAUCCUAGAAAUAAGGGAAAGAUGAAAGUGGAAAUCAACUGAGAAAUAACAUUUUGCUGGGUGUUCAGAUCCUACAGCUUCAAGAUUGUCUAUGGCGAGGAAGCCAAUGGCAUUAAUGUUUUUAAGCCUUACUAGUAGCUGCUAUCCCAGUAUUAGGCUACUGCUUUUCUUUGAUCCUUAUGCCUUGAUGCUAUUGCUUUUACUGGCGAGAGUUUGUAGAGUGUAAUAGCCCGUCUAGUAGUACUUGACAGGGUUCAAAUUUCAUUAGCAAUUCCAU